CCUACGGGAGGCUGCAGUGGGGGAUAUUGCACAAUGGGGGAAACCCUGAUGCAGCGACGCCGCGUGAGUGAAGAAGUAUUUCGGUAUGUAAAGCUCUAUCAGCAGGGGAGAAAAAAGACGGUACCUGCCUAAGAAGCCCCGGCUAACUACGUGCCAGCAGCCGCGGUAAUACGGAGGGGGCAAGCGUUAUCCGGAUUUACUGGGGGUAAAGGGAGCGUAGACGGCAAUACAAGUCGGAAGGGGAAUACGCGGGCUCAACCUGGGAACUGCUUUGGAAACUGUAUGGCUGGAGUGCUGGAGAGGUAAGCGGAAUGCCGGGUGUAGCGGUGAAAUGCGUAGAUAUUAGGAGGAACACCGGUGGCGAAGGCGGCGUACUGUACAGUAACUGACGUUGAGGCUCGAAAGCGUGGGGAGCAAACAGGAUUAGAUACCCGUGUAGUC
rnacentral:rRNA from 1 species